rnacentral:rRNA from 1 species
GACGAACGCUGGCGGCGUGCCUAAUACAUGCAAGUCGAGCGGACGGAUGGGAGCUUGCUCCCAGACCGUCAGCGGCGGACGGGUGAGUAACACGUGGGCAACCUGCCUGUAAGACUGGGAUAACUCCGGGAAACCGGGGCUAAUACCGGAUAACUCUUUCCCUCACAUGAGGGAAAGCUGAAAGAUGGCAUCUCGCUAUCACUUACAGAUGAGCCCGCGGCGCAUUAGCUAGUUGGUGAGGUAACGGCUCACCAAGGCGACGAUGCGUAGCCGACCUGAGAGGGUGAUCGGCCACACUGGGACUGAGACACGGCCCAGACUCCUACGGGAGGCAGCAGUAGGGAAUCUUCCGCAAUGGACGAAAGUCUGACGGAGCAACGCCGCGUGAGUGAUGAAGGUUUUCGGAUCGUAAAACUCUGUUGUCAGGGAAGAACAAGUACCGGAGUAACUGCCGGUACCUUGACGGUACCUGACCAGAAAGCCACGGCUAACUACGUG